rfam:Alligator mississippiensis ScZkoYb_152, whole genome shotgun sequence.
UGCAAAUGAUGCAAACGAAUAUUUGCUAUCUGAAUGGUAGUGCUGACACAGAUCAACCACCAAGAUCGCUGAUGCA